rnacentral:tRNA from 1 species
GAGGGUAUAGCUCAGCGGUAGAGCACAUGUUUAGCAUGCACAAGGUCCUGGGUUCAAUCCCCAGAACCUCCA